rfam:Salmo salar isolate Sally breed double haploid chromosome ssa10, whole genome shotgun sequence.
UCCCGUGUGGCUCAUUUGGUAGAGCAUGGUGUUUGCAACACCAGGGUUGUGGGUUCGAUUCCCACGGGGGAG